rnacentral:rRNA from 1 species
CGUUCUCCUCCCGUAGCUAACGCAUCAAGUGCUCCGCCUGGGGAGUACGGUCGCAAGGCUAAAACUCAAUCGGAAUUGACGGGGGCCCGCACAAGCGGCGGAGCAUGCGGAUUAAUUCGAUGCAACGAGAAGAACGUUACCAAGGCUUGACAUACACCAGACCGGCGGGGAAACAGGUCUUCACCUCUGGGGUCGGUGUACAGCUGGUGCAUCGUUGUCGUCAGCUCGUGUCGUGAGAUGAUGGGUUAAGUCGCGCAACGAGCGCAACCCUCGUUGUAUGUUGCCAGCACGGGAUGGUGGGAACUCAUAGGAGACUGCCGGGGUCAACUCGGAGGAAGGUGGGGAUGACGUCAAAUCAUCAUCCCCUUUAUGUCGUGGGCUUCACGCAUCAUACAACGGCUGGUACAAAGAGAAGCGAACCCGUGAGGGUCAGCGAAUCCUUUAAAGCCAGUCUCAGCUCGGAUCGUAGUCUUCAACUAGUCUACGUGAAGUAGGAGUCGUUAGUAAUCGCAGAUCAUCAACGAUGCGGCGAAUACGUUCCCGGCCCUUGUACACCCCGCCCGUCAAGUCAUGAAAGUCGGUAACACCAGAAGCCGGGGUCUAACCAGUCUCUGAGGAGCAUCUAUGUGAC